GAUCUCACUGUAAGACAUGACAACAAUGACACCAUCCUUCAUGUGGCAUGUCGAGGUGGACAUAGUCCCAUUGUAGGACAUCUGCUUCCAUUGUUUGACAUUAAUUGUCGUGGACAGGUGGGUUUUACACCAGUGAUGAUAGCAGCUGUGUUUGGGAAGAAGGAUGUUUUCGACCUGCUCGUGUCAAAAGAAGUUGAUCUCACACUAGGAAAUGACAAGAAUAACACCCUCCUUCAUAUGGCAUGUCAAAGUGGACAUAGUCCCAUUGUAGAAACUCUGCUUCCACUGUUUGACAUCAAUUGUCGAGGA